AAUUCUCAACCUUCCAGCUUUCUUUUAUUAGCUUGGUUUGGCUUGGAUGUGGGUGUUGCAGGCUUCAUUAAUGAGGUCAGCUCUCCUUAAAUGCAUUAGCUGAACUUUUGUGGACCGUCUAUUGGUGUGAUAAUUAUCUACGCCGUGGAUGUGAAGCAGCUAUAUAUGAAGUUCAGCUUCUAACUGUCCAUUGACUUGGACAAUUUUUGACA
rnacentral:misc_RNA from 1 species